AAUAAUGAUGGUGGGUAAGUAAAUGUGUAUCACCAUUUCGGAAAAAGAAGAGGUGAAGAAGAUUAUACUAUAUUCGGUGAAAAGAAAUUAUAGUAUAGUAUGUAUCGUACAUGAAAACAAAUAUUAUGUAUUUCAGAUUUUGAUUUUAUUUUAUUAAAUAUAGAUUAUAACUUAUAUUUUGGUUUACGAUUUAGUGGGUAGGGUUAGUAUUUAGGAGUUGUGAGCGGAAUUGGAGUCUUAUACUACUUCAGAUAUAUUAAAUAUAAUACUAUUUGAAAAUG
rnacentral:lncRNA from 1 species